rnacentral:tRNA from 1 species
GCUGGUUUGGCUCAGUGGCUAGAGCAUCAGCUUGCAGACUGAAGGGUUGCAGGUUCAAUUCCUGUCAAAGGCG